rnacentral:lncRNA from 10 species
UCACAGUUCCAGAAAAGUCUAAGAUCAAGAUGCAGAUAGGAUUGGAAUCCUCAGAGGUCUCCUUGGCUUGCAGAUGGCUGCACCCUUGCUAAGUCCUCACACGUUCUUUCCUCUGCACAGGUCCUUUUGAAAUCAGAAACCUUCCUAGGUAAUUAGAAUAUUUCUUUAGCUGCUUCCUGGUUGAAUAUAUGGAUUACUUAGCCACUCCAGACUUCCGGUAGUGUUGGGAAUUACCAUGCUUUCCAUGAAGAUGUGAGCUUGCUGGGUAUCAUGUACGUUGGCAGACGCAGUGACGUAUUUGAGAGUUUCACAUGCCUCUUAACCUGUCUUUCCUCCCAGAACCGUGUGCUAACUCCUCAUCAAAGACCAGAAGUAGAUCCUGAAUUGUAUUCAUUCUCAUCUCUUUCUACCUCCUCCAAGACAGAAGGACAUGAUUAACUUCUUUAUCUCAAUGUCAGCCUUCAAUAGCUACAAAAGUCUAAACUGUAAAUAGCGUUGAAGCUUUGCAUAAUAAAAUUCUUUUCCCCAGUGAUGGGCAGUUUUUCACAUAGUAACAUUCUUUUAAUCUUUUUUUCUUUUUAAUGAGUAGACAUAAAGAAAUGCUUAAAUAAAUAAUUAUCAACUAACUUACCUACAUUUAACUACACAUACCUAACAGACCUGAAUAUAGGCAGAGGAUGUGACAUUUUACUUACCCUUUUAUUAAAGUUACUGCUUCAUUUAUUGGUCUUUACUUCACUAGUGCAUCCAUAAAAUGUUUACAUUUUUUUAAACAAUAAAAUACUCUUGAAAUUAGUCCUUCUCUGUAAUCACUACAUAAAACUGCUUUAGAGACAGCCUUCAGAUCAACUAAAUUAUAUUUUACAAAAUGGCUUAGGUAUUUCAGUAGUAACUCUAUGGAACAACAGAAUUCACUGUUUAACCAGGGACCAAUAUUGGCAGCUGGCUUCCAUAACUUGUUUGAGGAAUGUAGUAAUUCCAAGGUUGCUGCAAGGACUAAUGUACAGGAAUAUUCCUGUAUUUUAUGGAAUAAAAAGGAAGAACGAGAGGAG